rnacentral:rRNA from 1 species
GUGCACGGGGGCCAGAAGCCCAAGACGGAUACGGGAUUUAGAAAUUAAAGCUUGCUUUACGAUUUCAUGAGAGUGGCGCACGGGUGCGUAACGCGUGAGCCACCUACCCAAAUCAGGGGGAUAGCCUCUCGAAAGAGAGAUUAACACCGCAUAACAUCAUUUACCGGCAUCGGAUUAUGAUCAAAUAUUUAUAGGAUAUGGAUGGGCUCGCGUGACAUUAGCUAGUUGGAGGGGUAACGGCCCACCAAGGCUACGAUGUCUAGGGGCUCUGAGAGGAGAAUCCCCCACACUGGUACUGAGACACGGACCAGACUCCUACGGGAGGCAGCAGUAAGGAAUAUUGGUCAAUGGAGGGAACUCUGAACCAGCCAUGCCGCGUGCAGGAUGACUGCCCUAUGGGUUGUAAACUGCUUUUGUCAGGGAAUAAACCUUUCCACGUGUGGGAAGCUGAAUGUACCUGAAGAAUAAGGAUCGGCUAACUCCGUGCCAGCAGCCGCGGUAAUACGGAGGAUCCAAGCGUUAUCCGGAUUUAUUGGGUUUAAAGGGUGCGUAGGCGGUCCUAUAAGUCAGUGGUGAAAGACGGCAGCUUAACUGUCGCAGUGCCUUUGAUACUGUAGGACUUGAAUCUAUUUGAAGUGGGCGGAAUAAGACAAGUAGCGGUGAAAUGCAUAGAUAUGUCUUAGAACUCCGAUUGCGAAGGCAGCUCACUAAGUUAGUAUUGACGCUGAUGCACGAAAGCGUGGGGAUCAAACAGGAUUAGAUACCCUGGUAGUCCACGCCCUAAACGAUGAUAACUCGAUGUUUGCGAUACCAAGUAAGCGUCCAAGCGAAAGCGUUAAGUUAUCCACCUGGGGAGUACGGUCGCAAGAUUGAAACUCAAAGGAAUUGACGGGGGCCCGCACAAGCGGAGGAGCAUGUGGUUUAAUUCGAUGAUACGCGAGGAACCUUACCCGGGCUUGAAAGUUAGUGAAUGAUCCAGAGACGGAUCAGUCCUUCGGGACACGAAACUAGGUGCUGCAUGGCUGCCGUCAGCUCGUGCCGUGAGGUGUUGGGUUAAGUCCCGCAACGAGCGCAACCCCUAUGUUUAGUUGCCAGCACAUUAAGGUGGGGACUCUAAACAGACUGCCAGCGUAAGCUGUGAGGAAGGUGGGGACGACGUCAAGUCAUCAUGGCCCUUACGUCCGGGGCUACACAC